rnacentral:lncRNA from 1 species
AGCUGCAAAAGGAACUCGAUAAUUUUCAAUAGGAAUGAGAUGACUCCAGGUUGAAGCAGCACUUAUGGACGUUGUCCCCUUUGAAUGCUUGCUUCCCAUGGUAUGUGUGGACUGUGGAGUGCCAACAUUAAUAGAUAUAGGAAUCCAUGUCUUUGACUGGGCAAGCUACUCCUGUUUUCUUCUUCUAUGAAUGCAAUGUGGAGUGCCAACAUUAAUAGAUAAAGGAAUCCAUGUCUUUGACUGGGGAAGCUACUCCUGUUUUCUUCUUCUAUGAAUGCAAAUAAGUUGCCAACCAUCAGCAAAGCAAUUGGUACACCUACCCUCACACCCAGGAGGAUGCAAAUAUAUGUGUAAAUAACAUGUAAAAAAGAAAAUAUAGUACAAAUAGAAUAAAAUGACACCGCUUGUCAUCACCCUCCCCUUGGCUUGCGGGUGAAGACCGUCUAUCCUCUUAGAGAGGUCGAGUGUUUGAUCCUUGGUGUAUGAUGUGCUUUAACUUUUUGAGUCUUUUGUUCAGUUUAACUGCAUAAAACAGAUGGUGUUUGAUCCUUGGUGUAUGAUGUGCUUUAACUUUUUGAGUCUUUUGUUCAGUUUAACUGCAUAAAAGAGAUGUCAGCGACGCUUGAAAUGCUGACCUCAUAGCAGGAGUUAAACAACUAAAACAAUGGACCAAGAACCCCUUUCGUCCGCAAAACUAAUAUUUGAAAAAUAAAAAAUCAAAGUGGGCUAAUUUUGAAAAACCAAAUCAUUCUCCUCUUCAGCUUUGCAGUGUUUGGGACCAAGUGUGUUACUUCCUGCCAUUUCCAUUGUGAGAAUCUUUUUUUUCCUUCUUCCUAGAAGGAAUAUUUUGAAGACAUCCAUUGUUCUAUAUUAGAGCGGGUUAGAGUCCAACAUUUGGUGGGGAAUGGACUGGUUAUCUCAUUAUAUAGACUUGGGCAAUCCUCCCCUAUGAGCUAGCUUCUGGGCCUGAGUUAGUGUAAGGCCGAGUGAAAUUUUUACUCAAAAACCCGAAAUCUUGCAGUGCCAAGUUAAGAAGUUCACCGCGAUUCGGACCUUUUGGAUGAUCUGUGCAUUCAAAAGUUAAGGAAAUAUGUUUUGCAGAAACGCGGCCCAUUAUGCGGCUGCAUAAUAGCAAUGCGGGCCGCAUAUCUGCCGCAGAGUGAGUUAGUAUGUUGGCCUCUUUGAUGACUAUUAUGGGGCCAAUUAUGCGAUCGCAUAAUCGAUAUGCGGGGUGCAUAGUCGUCGCAUAACCAUCUUGGGAUUUUUGCAUAGGGCGAACAGGUAUGCGGACCGCAUAUUGGUCGCAUACCCGGGUAGAUUAUCUAGGUCUUGAUGGCCACUUUUGCGGGCCGCAUAUCAGUUAUGUGCGAUCGCAGAUUGAGUUGGAGCUCCUAUUUUCUAACUGUUAAAACCCAACCCCAUUCCGUUAAAAACACCCCCAUUAGACCCUUUUGACUUAAUUUCUACUACAUUUAGAGUGAGAGCAAGAGUUCUAGAGGGAGAAAGUGAUCCUCACCAAGCCUCUACUUAAUCCUUGCCCAAAUCCUUGAAGAUUAUCAAGUAAAGUUACUAGGCCUUCAUCCUAAGAGGUAAGAACUUGUGCUCUAACUUUUGAUUUCGAAAUUCCUACUAAAAUACAUAAUUUACAAAUGGGUUCAUGGGUAUAAGGGUUGAUUGUCUUGCAUGCAUAUAUGAUAAAAG